AUUGAACGCUGGCGGCAUGCCUUACACAUGCAAGUCGAACGGCAGCGGGGGAGAAGCUUGCUUUUCCUGCCGGCGAGUGGCGAACGGGUGAGUAAUACAUCGGAACGUGCCCUGUAGUGGGGGAUAACUAGUCGAAAGAUUAGCUAAUACCGCAUACGACCUGAGGGUGAAAGUGGGGGACCGCAAGGCCUCAUGCUAUAGGAGCGGCCGAUGUCUGAUUAGCUAGUUGGUGGGGUAAAGGCCUACCAAGGCGACGAUCAGUAGCUGGUCUGAGAGGACGAUCAGCCACACUGGGACUGAGACACGGCCCAGACUCCUACGGGAGGCAGCAGUGGGGAAUUUUGGACAAUGGGCGAAAGCCUGAUCCAGCAAUGCCGCGUGUGUGAAGAAGGCCUUCGGGUUGUAAAGCACUUUUGUCCGGAAAGAAAUGGCUCUGGUUAAUACCUGGGGUCGAUGACGGUACCGGAAGAAUAAGGACCGGCUAACUACGUGCCAACAGCCGCCGCCG
rnacentral:rRNA from 1 species